AUCUUUCCUUCACCAGACAACCAGGAAUACUUCGAGAGGCACCGCUGGCCCCCUGUGUGGUACCUGAAGGAAGAAGAUCACUACCAGCGUGUGAAAAGGGAACGAGAGAAGGAAGAUAUUGCACUAAAUAAGCAUCGCUCAAGACGAAAGUGGUGCUUCUGGAAUUCAUCUCCAGCAGUGGCCUGAAGAGGAAGAGAAAAAAAACAAAAAAACAAAAACCAGUCAGAUCAAAGCACAAGCUCACCAUCAAUGAGCCUGGACAAAAAGGGAAGCUGACUCUCACUGCAUUCCUUAAACUGAUAUGUAUAUUUUUUUUGUUAGGAGGCUUAAUAAACUUUAGUCUGUUAUUUUGUUUCUUUUUAUACAAAGAAAAAAAA
rnacentral:sRNA from 1 species